rnacentral:rRNA from 1 species
UAAUACGUAGGUGGCAAGCGUUGUCCGGAUUUACUGGGCGUAAAGCGCGCGCAGGCGGUGAAUGAAGUCGAAAGUGAAAGCCCCGAGCUCAACUCGGGAACUGCUUUCGAAACCAGUUCACUUGAAGGUGGAAGAGGGAAGUGGAAUUCCGAGUGUAGCGGUGGAAUGCGUAGAUAUUCGGAGGAACACCAGAGGCGAAGGCGACUUCCUGGUCCAAUCUUGACGCUGAGGCGCGAAAGCUAGGGGAGCAAACAGGAUUAGAUAUCCUGGUAGUCCUAGCUGUAAACGAUGGAUACUAGGUGUUGGAGGUUUUAACCCCUUCGGCGCCGCAGCUAACGCAUUAAGUAUCCCGCCUGGGGAGUACGGCCGCAAGGCUAAAACUCAAAGGAAUUGACGGGGCCCCGCACAAGCAGCGGAGCGUGGGGUUUAAUUCGAUGAUACGCGAAGAACCUUACCAAGGCUUGACAUGCACAUGACCGCGGCGGAAACGUCGCUUUCCCGAAAGGGACGCGUGCACAGGUGUUGC